rnacentral:rRNA from 1 species
AUUGAACGCUGGCGGCAUGCCUUACACAUGCAAGUCGAACGGUAACGGGUCCUUCGGGAUGCCGACGAGUGGCGAACGGGUGAGUAAUAUAUCGGAACGUGCCCAGUAGUGGGGGAUAACUGCUCGAAAGAGCAGCUAAUACCGCAUACUACCUGAGGGUGAAAGGGGGGGAUCGCAAUACCUCUCGCUAUUGGAGCGGCCGAUGUCAGAUUAGCUAGUUGGUGGGGGAAAGGCCGACCCAGGCAACGAUCUGUAGUUGGUCUGAGAGGACGACCAGCCAGACUGGGACUGAGACACGGCCCAGACUCCGACGGGAGGCAGAAGUGGGGAAUUUUGGACAAUGGGCGCAAGCCUGAGCCAGCAAUGCCGCGUGGAGGAAGAAGGCCUUCGGGUUGUAAACUGCUGUUGUCAGGGAAGAAAUCUUCUGGGCUAAUACCCCGGGAGGAUGACGGUACCUGAAGAAUAAGCACCGGCUAACUACGUGCCAGCGGCCGCAGUAA